rnacentral:rRNA from 1 species
ACCAGACUCCUACGGGAGGCAGCAGUGGGGAAUAUUGCACAAUGGGGGAAACCCUGAUGCAGCGACGCCGCGUGAGCGAUGAAGUAUUUCGGUAUGUAAAGCUCUAUCAGCAGGGAAGAAAAUGACGGUACCUGACUAAGAAGCCCCGGCUAACUACGUGCCAGCAGCCGCGGUAAUACGUAGGGGGCGAGCGUUAUCUGGAUUUACUGGGUGUAAAGGGAGCGUAGACGGCUGUGCAAGCCAGAUGUGAAAGUCCGGGGCUCAACCCCGGGACUGCAUUUGGAACUGCGUGGCUUGAGUGUCGGAGAGGCAGGCGGAAUUCCUAGUGUAGCGGUGAAAUGCGUAGAUAUUAGGAGGAACACCAGUGGCGAAGGCGGCCUACUGGACGGUGACUGACGCUGAGGCUCGAAAGCGUGGGGAGCAAACAGGAUUAGAUACCCUGGUAU